rnacentral:lncRNA from 1 species
AUAUUUAUAUUUGCAAAUAGAAUCAAAUACUAAUCUAUAAAAAAAUUAUACAUCUUACAAAUUAUUUUUAUUUUAUCUCUUUCUACACAAAUAUGAAUUGAAAUUUAAAUUCAAUUUAUAGUCUGAACAUCAACAAUAAACUGCCACCAUAUUUAAUCUCUUUGAACAUGCAUAUAGUCCUACACCUGGCUUCUUCAAUUUCCAUGACUAUUGAUUGUAUGAUAAUUUUUAUUAUUCUAAAGCCUUUGCUCAACAUACAUUCAAAAGCACCUCGCUAAUCAAGAGUGUUGCUUGAGAGUCAAAUUGCAAUUUAAUUUGCUAACUUUU